rnacentral:rRNA from 1 species
GAGCCCCGCACUUUUAAAGUCCGCUUAACUUCCCGCCUGCGCUCCCUUUACGCCCAAUAAUUCCGGACAACGCUUGCCGCCUACGUAUUACCGCGGCUGCUGGCACGUAGUUAGCCGUGGCUUCCUCGUUAAGUACCGUCAAACAACACCCUUAUUCAAAAUGUUGCCCUUCGCCCCUAACAACAGAACUUUACGAUCCUAAGACCUUCUUCGUUCACGCGGCGUUGCUCCGUCAGGCUUUCGCCCAUUGCGGAAGAUUCCCCACUGCUGCCUCCCGUAGGAGUCUGGGCCGUGUCUCAGUCCCAAUGUGGCCGUUCAUCCUCUCAGACCGGCUACUGAUCGUCGCCUUGGUGGGCCUUUACCCUCACCAACUAGCUAAUCAGACGCAAGCUCAUCUUCAAGCGGAAGCAUUUUCAGAGGCUCCUUUAGAGAAAUAUCCAUGCGGUCAUCUCUCAAUCAUUCGGUAUUAGACCCUUUGAAGUGUUGUCCCAUCUUGAAGGAG